rnacentral:rRNA from 1 species
GACGAACGCUGGCGGCGUGCUUAACACAUGCAAGUCGAACGGUAAGGCUCCAGCUUGCUGGGGUACACGAGUGGCGAACGGGUGAGUAACACGUGGGUGACCUGCCCUGCACUUCGGGAUAAGCCUGGGAAACUGGGUCUAAUACCGGAUAGGACCGCACCGUGAGGGUGUGGUGGAAAGUUUUUUCGGUGUGGGAUGGGCCCGCGGCCUAUCAGCUUGUUGGUGGGGUAAUGGCCUACCAAGGCGGCGACGGGUAGCCGGCCUGAGAGGGUGGACGGCCACAUUGGGACUGAGACACGGCCCAGACUCCUACGGGAGGCAGCAGUGGGGAAUAUUGCACAAUGGGCGGAAGCCUGAUGCAGCGACGCCGCGUGGGGGAUGACGGCCUUCGGGUUGUAAACUCCUUUCACCAUCGACGAAGGGUUUCUGACGGUAGAUGGAGAAGAAGCACCGGCUAACUAC